rnacentral:rRNA from 1 species
CCUACGGGAGGCAGCAGUGGGGGAUAUUGCACAAUGGGGGGAACCCUGAUGCAGCGACGCCGCGUGAGCGAAGAAGUACCUCGGUAUGUAAAGCUCUAUCAGCAGGGAAGAAAAUGACGGUACCUGACUAAGAAGCCCCGGCUAAAUCCGUGCCAGCAGCCGCGGUCAUACGUAUGGGGCAAGCGUUAUCCGGAUUGACUGGGUGGAACGGGAGCGCAGGCGGCCUGCCAAGUCGGGUGUGAAAACCCCGGGCCCAACCCCGGGACUGCAUUUGAAACUGGCGGGCUGGAGUGCCGGAGGGGGAGGUGGAAUUCCUAGUGUAGCGGUGAAAUGCGUAGAUAUUAGGAGGAACACCGGUGGCGAAGGCGGCCUGCUGGACGAUGACUGACGCUGAGGCGCGAAAGCGUGGGGAGCAAACAGGAUUAGAUACCCGGGUAGUC